rnacentral:rRNA from 1 species
AUUGAACGCUGGCGGCAGGCCUAACACAUGCAAGUCGAACGAGUGGCGGACGGGUGAGUCAUGCUUGGGAAACUGCCUGAUGGCGGGGGAUAACUACUGGAAACGGUAGCUAAUACCGCAUACCAUCAGAUGUGCCCAGAGGGGAUUAGAUUGUUGGUGGGUUAACGGCUCACCAAGCCGACGAUCCCUAGCUGGUCUGAGAGGAUGACCAGCACCACUGGAACUGAGACACGGUCCAGACUCCUACGGUAGGCAUCAGUGGGUAAUAUUGCACAAUGGGCGCAAGCCUGAUGCAGCCAUGCCGCGUGGAUGAAGAAGGCCUUCGGGUUGUAAAGUACUUUCAGCGGGGAGGCGUUACCCGCAGAAGAAGCACCGGCUAACUCCGUGCCAGCCGCGGCGGUAAUAC